AGUGAACGCUGGCGAUAGGCCUAACACAUGCAAGUCGAACGGCAGCACAGUAAGAGCUUGCUCUUACGGGUGGCGAGUGGCGGGCGGGUGAGGAAUACAUCGGAAUCUACUUUUUCGUGGGGGAUAACGUAGGGAAACUUACGCUAAUACCGCAUACGACCUACGGGUGAAAUCAGGGGAUCUUCGGACCUUGCGCGAUUGAAUGAGCCGAUGUCGGAUUAGCUAGUUGGCGGGGUAAAGGCCCACCAAGGCGACGAUCCGUAGCUGGUCUGAGAGGAUGAUCAGCCACACUGGAACUGAGACACGGUCCAGACUCCUACGGGAGGCAGCAGUGGGGAAUAUUGGACAAUGGGCGCAAGCCUGAUCCAGCCAUACCGCGUGAGUGAAGAAGGCCUUCGGGUUGUAAAGCCCUUUUGUUGGGAAAGAAAAGCAGCAGGUUAAUACCCCGCUGUUCUGACGGUACCCAAAGAAUAAGCACCGGCUAACUUCGUG
rnacentral:rRNA from 1 species